rnacentral:tRNA from 1 species
GCCUGGGUGGCUCAGUCGGUUAAGCAUCCGACUUCAGCCCGGGUCACGAUCUCGCGGUCCGUGAGUUCGAGCCCCACGUCAGGCU